UUAAUCAUAGCUAAACAAGCAAUAUUAUUGUUAAUAAUAAGAUAAGAAAUUCCCUUUGAUUAAG
rnacentral:tRNA from 1 species